CCACUCCCAGGCUGAUCAUCCCUGGGGCUGGGAGGAAAGUUAUUUGCAGAGGAGAACAAGAUCAGGACUCUUCCUAACAAAGGCUGAGUAAGAAACUGGGUUUCUGACCUCUCUACCCCAGCAAGCUCAGAGUCCCCUGCCUUUCCUCUGUUCUGGCUCUGUGUGUUUGCAUUACUCACUCUGUGGUUAGAAGUUCAGGCCCACAGACAGAAGGGAUUAGCCUUAUCUCAGAUGAGAUUUUGGACUUGGACUUUUGAAUUAAUCCUUCAAUGACCAUAGUUUAAGAAGAGAUAUCUUGAAAACACGGAAAGAGAAAAGUCAAUACAAUAUUUCCUAAUUUUUUAAGAGGUCAGAGAAGGGAGUUACUGUGUGGCCUGGAGCAGGUGAUUCUGACUACCAAGGGAAAAUUGGAGUACUACUCCACAAUGGAGGGUCUGCAGGAUGGACCCGGCAGCUGGUGCCCUGUGUGAGGAACGCUGCAACGGACUGCGACAGAACCCUCGAAAACGAAGGUGAAGAGACUGUGCAGUCAUGUGACAGACACAUCAAACCAUACCAUGGCGUGGCUAAGACCCAAGCUGGUAUCAAAAAUAAAGGAAACGACGCUGCAGGACCCGCAGCCCCAGACGAUGUGGCUUCCUCCGAUGACACAGGCCCCAGACAUUACCUGGGGGAAGCUGAAGAAGACAACUCAGGAGGCCGAGUGAAUCCUUCUCUGGACACAGACACCAUCACUCCAGAUAAUCUGUUCCUUGCUAUGCUCUCUAUUGUACCUUGCAACUCUCAUAGGGUAUUCACCUUUCUUAUUCUCUCACUUUGCCUGCAACUCAUACCUGCUACAUUCUAUUGGGCCCAUCUUCUAAGAUCUGCCUUUCUUCCAACCUGUUACCUUGGCAGACACCCCCUUCCCAUCCUCUAAUAAUGUAACUGCUUAGCUGGGAGGGGUUGACAUGCCCCCAGUGGGGUUCCUUAAUAAUGGCACACAUUGAACUGAGGUGCCAAGUAACACUACAUAUCUCUCCUUGAUUGGAAAAGAAUAAUAGUGACUAUACUAAUGUUUGACUUAUGUUAUUUACUAAUUCUAGGAUGCAAAGCCGGAACACGAGCUGUAACCGCUGCGCCUGUCAAAUCUGUCACUGCACACAUCUGUACUAUUCAAUCAACAAAACCCGAUGCUAAAAACAGAAAAGGGGGAGACGCGGGAGAUCGGUCAGAGUGGUAGGAGAAGGUAUAGGGAAAGGAACAGACCUUCUGAAAGGCGGGAAGGCUCUGGAUAGCUUCAGGGAUGAAUAAGCUGAAGGCAGCUGUUCUCUUACCCUGAGGCAGAGGGCAAGGGGUAGGUAAGGAAGUAUAGGGGAAUUUGGCAUAAACAGGCUUGUUUACUUACAUUGUCCGGAAACCGACUUUGAUCAUCAGGGCAGGAGACUGCUCCCUGAAAGGGGGAAUAAUAAUGUUAAUUACCCACAGAUUGUGUUGGCUCCAGGCUUUCAUUAUUUUGUCUGUACUGAAUAAAAGCAAGCAGCUCCAGCUGUUCGAGACUGCUCACUCUUCAGCCAUUAGUGCUGGGCAUUCCUGUAGCUGCUCUUACACUGCAUGCCUGUGGCUGAGUACUCCUUUCAUCCGUUGCUUGGCCAGGGUCUGUGGGAUGGACCCCGCAGGUAAGGGUUAUCAAAAAAAAAAAAAAUUCACAGGCAGAUAGGAACACCAUGACCAUACUAAAAGGCUUUUUUCCCAUUUUAGUCUUGCAAGUUUGUAAAGAAGGAUAUGAAGCCCCUAAGAAAUCAGUGAAACACUUUUUCCCAAAACCUUUAUUUCCUAUGUCUUGUCUUCAGAAGUUUAUCUAGAAACUCCCCAGCUAGUUUAGUAUUGAGGAGGGUACCAGAUGGACUAUCUAUGUGCUAAGAAAAGCAUACCACUGCAUGCAACUAAAUAUCUGCAAUAUCA
rnacentral:lncRNA from 1 species